rnacentral:lncRNA from 1 species
UCUUUAAUGUUCUAUAUGUUCUUGUGCUUCCUGCUCUAAUCCAUUCUUAGGGUUUCUCUGAUUUGGUUCAACAAGUGUUAUUUAUCGUUUAAUAGGUCCAACUAUUUGUUUUAUUGAUUGUUCACAUAAUAAUUUAUAUUGAUUUUGUGUAAUCUCCUUAGACCUGUGAUGCCUUCCCUGAAUAUGUGAUUUUGUGUAUUUUCCUUGUAAUUCUGUACUAAUUUUUCGAAUUGCUUCCUUACUUUUGUGAUACUUUCCUUAGUUAGUGCCGAUUCCCUGUGAUUAUCAAUCUCAUUCGUGAUUCUUUGAACUAACUUUCAGAAAUAAAAUUGUACUAUACCCUAUUUAUGUCAACAAAUAUGCUGUUAGUAAUUUAACGUGUACUGCCUUUACUUGAAAAUAUUCUGUACGUAGUCAUUAU